GAAUGUGAGGUCAAUCUGAUGAUGGCAUUGGUCUCCCCAUUGAUUAGGGGGUUUAUCAGGCUGAUCUGGCUGGACAGGCAAGUGCCUUUUCUCCCUCUCUGCUUUAUAUGCACACUUAAUAGAAAAGGAUGACCUUCCUGAAGAGAAGUUCCCUGUUCUUUUUUCCAAGGGUAAAGGGAACAUCCUCAAACAAAAGUGAUUU
rnacentral:snRNA from 1 species